rnacentral:rRNA from 1 species
GUACACACCGCCCGUCACACCAUGGGAGUGGGUUGCACCAGAAGCCGUAGUCAAACCUUCGGGAGGGCGCCGACCACGGUGUGAUUCAUGACUGGGGUGAAGUCGUAACAAGGUAGCCGUAGGUGAACCUGCAGAAGGAUCA